rnacentral:rRNA from 1 species
GGCAUUAGGUUGUCGCGCAGGGGAUCGCCCAUCGUUUACUGUGAGAAAAUUAAAGUGUUCAAAGCAGGCUUACGCCGUUGAAUAUAUUAGCAUGGAAUAAUAAGAUAGGACCUUGGUACUAUUUUGUUGGUUUGCGCACCGAGGUAAUGAUUAAUAGGGACAGUUGGGGGUAUUCGUAUUCCAUUGUCAGAGGUGAAAUUCUUGGAUUUCUGGAAAACGAACUACUGCGAAAGCAUUUACCAAGGAUGUUUUCAUUAAUCAAAAACGAAAGUUAGGGGAUCGAAAAUGAUUAGAUACCAUCGUAGUC